GGUGGUAAUGCCGGAUGCUCCAUCACACUGCAUGGUGUGUUGGGAAAGCCUUUGCGGCAUGGGAUGGGGUCGCGUCCUAUCAGCUUGAUGGCGGGGUAACGGCCCACCAUGGCUUCGACGGGUAGCCGGCCUGAGAGGGCGACCGGCCACAUUGGGACUGAGAUACGGCCCAGACUCCUACGGGAGGCAGCAGUGGGGAAUAUUGCACAAUGGGCGCAAGCCUGAUGCAGCGACGCCGCGUGAGGGAUGGAGGCCUUCGGGUUGUAAACCUCUUUUGUUAGGGAGCAAGGCAUUUUGUGUUGAGUGUACCUUUCGAAUAAGCACCGGCUAACUACGUGCCAGCAGCCGCGGUAAUACGUAGGGUGCAAGCGUUAUCCGGAAUUAUUGGGCGUAAAGGGCUCGUAGGCGGUUCGUCGCGUCCGGUGUGAAAGUCCAUCGCUUAACGGUGGAUCCGCGCCGGGUACGGGCGGGCUUGAGUGCGGUAGGGGAGACUGGAAUUCCCGGUGUAACGGUGGAAUGUGUAGAUAUCGGAAAAGAAACA
rnacentral:rRNA from 1 species